UACGUAGGGAGCAAGCGUUUGUCCGGAAUCAUUGGGCGUAAAGCGCGCGUAGGCGGCCCUGUAAGUCCGUUGUGAAAGUCAAAGGCUCAACCUUUGAAAGCCGAUGGAUACUGCAGGGCUAGAGUCCGGAAGAGGCGAGUGGAAUUCCUGGUGUAGCGGUGGAAUGCGCAGAUAUCAGGAGGAACACCGGUGGCGAAGGCGGUUCUCUGGGCCUGACCUGACGCUGAGGAGCGAAAGCGUGGGGAGCGAACAGG
rnacentral:rRNA from 1 species